AUCAAGUUGAUGUAGCCCCGCCAACCCGUACGAACUCGUGAAAAGAAGAAAAGUAUUGGCGAAGUUGCCUGCUUGAAAGUAAGUGUGAGGAAAAAGUAGUUUGUUGUAUUGAUUUGAUGAUGAUUACAGAUCUAUGAAGGCGGCUAUUUAUAGCCUGUUACAACCAAUUUCUUAACCGACUAGGACUCUAUCUCUAGUUUUAAACGAAAACAAAUUACAAGUAUGAUUCGUAUUGGAGUUGAUCAUCGCGAUCCCAUGGGCCGAUCUCUUCUCUAUCUUCACAGUUCAUUUUAAGUCCAUAUUGGCCCAAUUGCUUCAUCCUCCCAAUCGGCCGAUUCCACCAACUCCAUUCGCCGAAAUACUGCAGCACUAAUUGGCCGAUCCUCAACUGUAGCACCAAUCGGCCGAUUCCCAAUCGUGACCUCUGUGUCUUGCCGCAUCUCCUGAUUUCUUCCUUUCUUGACGCCGAUUUCAUACGUGUCAAAAUCUGGCGUCAACACAUGCCUCCCAGUUUCGGAGUAAAAUAUAAUCUUUACUUCGAAAUUCUUUUCAACUUUCUUUCCGAAACAAACGCAUUGAAAAUAUCCUUCCGUUUCGCGGUCUCCAGCCUGAUGAUUGCAAUCUUUUCAAAACGGGCGCCCACGACAACCACUCCUCCCGAAAAAAAUCAAAACGCCGGCGUGGUAAAAAUUCUGUUUUUACCCCUUCUCAGACCACCUUUAAAUAUCAGUACGUCCCGUACUCUUCUUCACGAGCUCACGUCUUCCUUCUUUGGCGCACUGAUCUUCUCCUUCCUCCGGCACCUUCCUUAGCCUCCAGUCUUUUCCUCUGGCAUCUCCUUCCAUCUACAUUCCACCCCACUUCUCCAAUGGCGACACCCUCAGGCACCUCUCCAAC
rnacentral:lncRNA from 1 species